ACAGAGUAUCGAGCUGUCGCCCAGGCUGGAGUGCAAUGGCAUGAUCUUGGCUCACUGCAACCUCUGCCUCCCGCGUUCUAAGUGAUUCUCCUUCCUCAGCCUCCCGAAUAGCUGGGAUUAUAGGCACGCACCAUCAUGCAUGGCUAAUUUUGUAUUUUUAGUAGAGAUGGGGUUUCCCCAUGUUGGCCAGGCUGGUCUCGAACUCCUGAUCUCAGGUUAUCCACCCGCCUCAGCCUCUCCAAGUGCUGGGAUUACAAGUGUGAGCCACCGCACCCCGCCCUAAUCUCAGCCUUUUUAUAUCUUCUUGGUAGGCCCACUUUUUGGCAUCCCCUAACAAGAAGUCCUCAGAGAUUUUUACUACUCAACAUGUGUGCGUCCCACUCAGAUGUAUUGUGUUCUUUCUGUUCACCCUCUACUUCCCAUUCCAUUUCUUCCUCUGACUUAGGGUUAGAAUGGCCCAAUGAUCCUACAACUUUUUGAUGCUAUUUCAUUUGAUUCCUCUACUGUCUAAAUCACAAGUUGGCUAACUUUACUUACUGUAAGGGAUCAGAUAGCAAAUAGUUUAGGCCUUGUGGGCCAUUCAAUCUGUCAUAACUACCCACUCUGACCAUAUGUAGUGCAAAAGCAGCCCUUGACAAUAUAUAAAUGAAUGAACGUGAAUGUAUUUCAAUAAAGCUUUACUUGUGGAC
rnacentral:lncRNA from 1 species